CAAUACUACUCGCCAGAGUACUACUAGCAACAGCUUAAAACUCAAAGGACUUGGCGGUGCUUUAUAUCCCUCUAGAGGAGCCUGUUCUGUAAUCGAUAAACCCCGAUAAACCUCACCAACUCUUGCUAAUACAGCCUAUAUACCGCCAUCUUCAGCAAACCCUAAAAAGGAAUCAUAGUAAGCAAAACCAUGCAACAUAAAAACGUUAGGUCAAGGUGUAGCCCAUGAGUUGGGAAGAAAUGGGCUACAUUUUCUAACAUAGAACAUAAACGAAACUUUUCGUGAAACCGAAAACGGAAGGAGGAUUUAGUAGUAAAUUAAGAAUAGAGAGCUUAAUUGAAUAAGGCCAUGAAGCACGCACACACCGCCCGUCACCCUCCUCAAGCAUCAAGAUUCAACUAACUAACCCUAUUGACAAAUGUACACACAUGUGAGAGGAGAUAAGUCGUAACAAGGUAAGCGUACUGGAAAGUGCGCUUGGACAAACCAAAGUGUAGCUUAUAUUAAAGCACCCGGCUUACACCCAGGAGAUACCACGCGACAGUGGCCGCUUUGAACAAAUGCUAGCCCACACCACACUAAACUCAACUAUAUUCUAAAAUAAAUCAAAACAUUUACCCUAAUUAAAGUAUAGGAGAUAGAAAUACUAAUUGGCGCUAUAGAAUGAAGUACCGUAAGGGAAAGAUGAAAGACUAAUAAAAAGUAUUUAACAGCAAAGCUUACCCCUUGUACCUUUUGCAUAAUGAUUUAACUAGAACUAUUUGACAAAACGAAUUUUAGCCAAACAACCCGAAACCAGACGAGCUACCCAAGAGCAGCUAAAGAGCAAACUCGUCUAUGUGGCAAAAUAGUGAGAAGACUCUUAGGUAGUGGUGAAAAACCUAUCGAGCCUGGUGAUAGCUGGUUGUCCAGAACAGAACUUCAGUUCAACUUUAAGCCAUGCCUAAAAAAUCAACAACUCAAAUGCAGACUUAAAAUAUAAUCUAAAAGGGUACAGCCUUUUAGAAACAGGAUACAACCUUAACUAGAGAGUAAGCCCUAAAAGGCCCCCAUAGUUGGCCUAAAAGCAGCCACCAAUUGAGAAAGCGUUCAAGCUCAACGACCUCAUCAAUCUUAAUUCCAAACGAGUACCCGCGAACCCCUAGCCCUAACACUGGACUAUUCUAUUACAAAAUAGAAGAAAUACUGUUAAUAUGAGUAACAAGAACUAACUUCUCCCUGCAUAAGCCUAUAUCAGAGCGGAUGUCCCACUGAUAGUUAACAACAAAAUAAACAUAACACCACAAUUAAAUCAUUUAU
rnacentral:misc_RNA from 1 species